UCGGGAAUAUUGCGCAAUGGAGGAAACUCUGACGCAGUGACGCCGCGUAUAGGAAGAAGGUUUUCGGAUUGUAAACUAUUGUCGUUAGGGAAGAAAAAAGACAGUACCUAAGGAGGAAGCUCCGGCUAACUACGUGCCAGCAGCCGCGGUAAUACGUGGGGAGCAAGCGUUAUCCGGAUUUAUUGGGUGUAAAGGGUGCGUAGACGGGUGAUCAAGUUAGUUGUGAAAUCCCUCGGCUCAACUGAGGAACUGCAACUAAACUGGUUGUCUUGAGUGCAGGAGAGGUAAGUGGAAUUCCUAGUGUAGCGGUGGAAUGCGUAGAUAUUAGGAGGAACACCAGUGGCGAAGGCGACUUACUGGACUGUAACUGACGUUGAGGCACGAAAGUGUGGGGAGCAAACAGGAUUAGAUACC
rnacentral:rRNA from 1 species